GUGUUAUAAAGUUGGAAGAGUGCUAUUCGAGGGUGGUAGAAAUAUAUGAAAAUACAUUUGUGAAUUGAACCUUUGCAAUGAUGCUACAUCAGUCUGAGUGAUCUGUACUUUGCUAUAGUUUUUAGAAAAAAAUAGUUAGAAAUAGAGGUAAUUUUAAAAGUAGCAUUGCACGUCUUCCCAUCUCUGUGCUUGCCCACAGACAGAAGUGGGGAGUAUACCUAAGCAGGUUGUGGGGUUGUUGUUGUUGUUAUGUUGCUUUUUUCGGCAAUUGUGUUCCUGACAUAACAAGACAAACAUUUCUUUCAACAUCUGAGCCACACAGAUUAGACAGCGAACUGUCACCCGGGUCAAGACUAUGUGCCAUGUGGUGAAUGAAAGUCUAGCUCAAGGAAUCUCCUGGGUGGGUUCUUCACGGGGUUCAGACAGCCUGUUGCAAAGGUCAGGGCUGUGUUGUGGUUUACGUGUUUCCCUGGUAGGAACUGCCAGGUCUUUCCCAGAGGUGGUGUCUUUCUCUACGUCACUUUCUGUACUGAAUAAGGCCUUGGGCCUCUCAUAUUGUCUUGAGUAUGGGGUGAGUGUUAAUAGAGAUAGUAUCCAUAAAGUUCUGAGUUCUUUAUUAAUUUUACAAUCGCACAAAAAAAUAUGCUAAAUAAUGAAGCAUGUGAAGUACAGUUCAUUUCCCCUCAACUGUAAACUUUCCCUGCAUUUAUCUUCGUUUCCUUUAACUCUUAUGGACUGUUUAUGGUGCUGGUGGGAGGGAGGGAGGAAUUAUCAAGGAAAAAAAAAUAGGUGAAAGAAGGUUAUUUCCAACUCCCCAUGCAUUUCUUCGAGUUAGUACAGUCCAGAGUGGGAUAUGGCAUUUUCCGUGGAGUUCUGACUCAGGAGAUGGGGGAGAGGAAGAGAGUUAACUAAUACUGGGUGGCUGCUAUGUGCUAGGCACUGGACUAGGCUUCCUGUUUUAUCCUCCCCACAGCCUGAAGAGAUCCGUCUUUAUCCUUCUUACACAAAGGGCUCUAAAGCUUCAGACUCUAAAAUAACUCCUUGCUCCUGACCAGAACUUCAGAAGGCAGUGGCUUGUUGUCCAUGUCAUUUGAAUACUGCAACAGAACCUUAGCAAUGAAGUAGAAAGUUGUGAUAAUAUGUAUACAGGCUAUAGAGUAACUUUGUAUUUAUUCCUAACUUAGAAUAAGAGAAAAUUUCCAUAUAUAAAACCUAUGCUGAGAAAGAUUAGGAACUGAAGUUCAGUAUAUUUUUAAUUUAAUAUAAUUGAAAAGAAUUAAAAGUGUUAGUCAUAAUUUGAAGGAACUUCCUUGAAGUAGUCCUAUAGUAGAAGCAUUUAUAUAAUUAUAUAAAGAGAAAGAGGUUUUUUAAAAAAUCAUUGUGGUUGACAGUUAAGUGUAAAAAACAUACAUGUAUGCAGUGUGGGAGGAGGGCCUGUUCCAUGCCUUUGACCCAGAUAUAUAUAUUUUUUCAAAUCCUGAAAAAAAACUUGAGGUUUUUUUGUUUAGGAUACAGAAUGUUGCACAAAGAUUGGCAUGCUUUCAUUUUUAUAUGUAUUUUUAAAAAUGUCUAUGUCUUAGAGAAGGAAAAUAAUGGAAUUUUUGUAAAUUACUUUUUAGAAAAUGGUUCACCUUAUUAACAGAACAUUUUAAACCUCUUUGACACCUGAAAAAGUCAGUAAAAGCACUUUUUGAUACAAUACUUAAGUAUCUUAUGCAUUUGUUACUUUUUUAUCUCAUGCAUUUUGUUACUUUUUUGGUUUAGUAACAUAGGACUUAAGAUACAGUUAAACCACCAAUGAAAUGAGAUAUAUAAGAGGUUUUCUUCUAGAUAGACGCCAUGCUUUUUGACAAGAACAUAAUUUUAUAUAAUUUAUGAGAUAAAAUAAUUACUUUCCUCAGUCAAGAGCCUCUAAUAGAGCUUUAAAAAUUACCAGGAAAGACAUUUUUAUUACUAUAUCUUUUCUUUCUCUUUGAAAAAUGAAACAAAAAAUCGAGUGGUGAUUCUUUGGACAGGUUAACCUCAUACCAAUUCAUUAAAUAGAGGGUGUUUUUGAAAAAGCUCAUGUGAGGAUAGGCUAUAUAGUAUUUUUGGAUUACAUGGAGACCUUUUACUUUGGUCCCUACUGAUCCUUGUGAUUUUUAGCAAUGCAUACUUUGAAAUUUCAGUGGAUGUUUUUCUUUAUCAUUGUAUGAAUAAGGUUUUGAAGUAAAAUGUUUUGUGCCUCUUUAUUUAAGAGAGUCAGAGGUAGAUGAUAAAAGCAGUUUAACACUGAAAAAGUGCAGUUGAGCCUCUUAAAUUAUUAAGAAAGAAGGAAGGGAGGAGGGGAAGGGAGGAGGGAAAGGGAGGGAGGAGAGGAGAAAGGAGGAGACCAUAGAAGUGUAGGUGACUAAACCAUGUGUACAGCUUCUGCGUUUUCUUUCUACACUUCCAGGGCACGUGGCAAAGACUGGUCCUCACUGAUAGUGUGUGGAAGAUAGUAAGUGAUUCCAACGGUGACAGCAGGACUGGGAGUCUCACACAACAUAUUCUUUUCUUUGACACCUAAAAACUCUGAGUAUGUGGUUGCCCUGCCCCAAAAAAGGUUUUGCAUUUCUUUCUCUAAGGCCUCACACCGGCCACUUCCUUUCUCAUUCUCCUUCUCCUUUGCAUUUCCUUGGGGAUGGCUGGAAAGGGCUGGCAGUGUGGUGCCUGGUGUGUAGGCCUGCCUGCAGCCCCAUUGCCCCCUGGUUGGCCGAGGGUUGGGGAAGCUGGGGAGGCAUGUGUGUGCUUGCUCAAUGUGUUGGAAUGUAUGGGUUCUGUGGCAUACACUUACUUGGAAUGUGCAGCAGACACAUGAGCUUCGAUGGUCGUAGGGGUCUAACGUUGUAGGCUUUUGUAAGUGGUUGAAAAUUUGGGUUACUUUUUUCCGCUGAAGUGCAGUUGUAUUUAUUCUUUGGAAAGGGAAAACAUCUUUAUUUUUUGUUUUUCAACCAUUGACGGAUAGAAAAUAAUGUUGUGGAUACAUAAAUAAUCUGGCCUCUCUCCUGGAUCCAGCUGUACUACUGUUUACCCCUUUCUUUUCGAACUGAUAGUGAUGUCUUCAAGUCAUGGACACUGAAUUUGUAAACUAAGCCUUGUAAAAUUCCCUGAGUUGUGCCACCACUAAAGAUGAUGAAAUCAAGGAUCUGAGAAACCAAAUUUUAAGCUCAGAUAUUGAAAAAUGUGGAAUUGAUUCUCCUUUUUAGGAAUAGAGAACAAAAUACUAGUUGCUUAAUAUUUAAAAUUUUUGGCUGUUUAUUAUUUUUUUAAAUGUUUAUAUAUUUUCUUAAAAUAUUUGAGAUGACAAAGGUACUGGUUACUCAAUUAUUUGAAUUAAAGAAGACAGAGAUUUAGAUUUGUAAAGUAGGUAAGUCGAAAAGGCAUUUUAAGAGUUACAAAGGGCCCAGGAACAGGUGAUUGGUUCUAAUAUAAUUAUUUCUACAUCACGAGAGUGUUGCCAGGGAAGAGUUAGCCCUUUGUUCACUGAUUUGCAUAUUAAUGGUAUGUUGUGUCUAUUUCAAUAAUGGUUUCAAGAAAAUGAUUUAGAUAUUGAAAUUGAUCAGUGGCUUUAGUUCACAUGUAUCGAUUGUGGUCACGGUGUUAAUACCUGCCUUAUAAAUUUCUAGGCCAACAUUGUAUCUUUUAUUUUCUAUGGCAGUUUUUAUUAAACACUGUUCCAUAGAGCCUUAGGAUUCCAAGGAGAUGCCAAAUUUAUGGGAAGGACGAAUGGAUGUACGUACAUGGGAAUCCUGGCUUCUUACCCACUGCCCAAUACGAAGACAACUGCAUUUGUUGCUGUUUUAUAUACAGCAUUGGAGUUGAGUCUAAGAUUUGGUUUAGAAAAGGGGUUUGCUGCUUUAAAACACAGUUUGUAAGCACCCACCCUACAGUGUGUAAAGUGUGUAAUUCUGAGUCUUCAGUCCAUUCCUUGAUUUGACCCAAAGCCCUUUCUUGAGGAAAGUUUAGACCCUGCCCUUGUUACUCCUACAUCUGCUUUCCAUGGAAUGGCCCUCUAUUUCCUGUCACUUUCAUUUUGGUAACAAGUAUCUGCUUUGCCAACUGCAUGCCAGACUACUAAAUCUAUGGAUUUUUCUAUAGUCAACAACAUAGAAUGCGUGCCCUUCAGGAACUUUCCAGGGAGCUCCUUGGCCAGUGAUUGUUCAGGAGGUGGAAGCAGGGUUGGCUUGCUAAUCCUUCUUGAGGCAGAGCAGCCCUCCUCUUAUCUGUUGUGUAAGGUGGGGCUCCACGAACACAGGAGUGAUCUUCAAAACAUUUUCAGUUGGUUAGAACGAACAAAUGUGCUAGGUCACAAGCCAUGAUACUCUAAUACACACCCCCUCAGUAUCAGUCCUACAUACAUGAUUUUUGUUCAAAAACAGGAUAUUACUUUAAAACAGUAAAAAUACUGUUUUCUCAGUGAUUUCUUCCCCUAUGGCCAAGGACUCUUGGAAAGUCCUGAAAGUCCUUGGAAUUUAGCUACGUGUUGUUAAAGAUCCCCUGAGAGGUUCUGAUGCCCAGGCAGGGAGAGGGGGAGAGAGAGAGAGAGACACCCUACUCUGAGCACCGUCCCCUGCCAUGUGCUCCAUCACUGUAGCCUCCCACAGACUGGCCUUCAGAGACCCAUGGUUUCGUAUUUUGCACACAACUUUUGUAGUAAGAUUUUUGUAAGAGAUCACCAUAUGUUUACAGGGGUAGAUGACGUAAGUGGUGGCAAGUGUGUUCUGGAUAGUGCAGGAGGGACAGCUAUUAGUUAGCUCCAGCCAACUGCUGCCAUUUGGAAAUGUAGGGCCAGUGUUCCCAAAUCUGAUUUUUCAAGAGGAGGUGGAAGUCAGAGUUCUUAUGUUAAAUAUCUGAAGUUUUAAAUAUUGGCAACAAUUCAAAAUUUUUUAUGGACACUGAAGGUCAAAAAAAGACAGCUGUGAGUUGAAUCUGGCCCGUGGGUUGCCAGUUUGCAGUCUCUGCCACAUGAAAAUCUGUAUCUUCUAUAAAACAUUGUUGAAGACACUGUCCUUUAUGUUUAGUAUCCCUUACACAUAGGCUUGUCUAUGAGUGAGAGGGAAAAGUCCUUUUCUUGAUAGGCAGGAUGAACUCAUAUGGAUCUUAUCUAAUGAUGAUAGCUGUUUGGAAACUCAAAAUCAAAUUAGGUCUUAGUUGCAGUAGCCAUUU
rnacentral:lncRNA from 1 species